GUCGGGGGCUCUCGGCCGCAGGGCGCACGCGUUCAGCCCUCACCGAAAGCUGCGCGGGCGGGCGCGUAGGUGCGCUAUGCCCACGUUACACUUUAGGGAAAUGGAGACGGACUGAGAAUUGACCGGGCGCGUGGAGCAGGCAGCGACUGGACCUGGCCCGACCCACUCUGCCGCCUUCAGCUGCGUCGCCCCAAAGCCUCUAAGCCCCCCAGGUCCCCCGCAGCGCCACCGCGCGCGGCUCAGACCCGUGGUGGGAAAGCCGCACGGUUGACCCCGGGGUCAGGUCCUCCGGGAGGGAAGCGCGGGAAGAAGCGGUGACGCCGCUGUGGACGUCACCUCGGGAGGAGGGGACCAAACAACAAGAAACAUCAGGACUGGAGAGAGAAAUAUUUGAAGAAUGCUUAAGUUUUCCUUUUCCUCUGUGAGAAGAGUGCUUCAUCUCUUUGGUGAGAGAAAAUACCUAAAGUUUAGAAGCUCUGUUGACGCUUUGUCUAAUUACCUUGGUGGGAACUUUCAUCAGCCAUCACACAUUGAAUCUAGAAGUGCUGGAACAAUAACUCAAGGGGACUGAUUGACAGUGACUGCUGCCAAAUUAGCAUUUCUAUGGAAGCCAGCGUCAGUUAUCAUCAACAGACAUUAUCCUCCUCUGAGAUUUUCUGAACUGCUUUUCAAUAGAGGCCAAAUCACUUGUAUGCAAUAAAACAAAAGAAACUUUGUCUGAAUACUGUAUUAGGACAGACACAAGUAUCUUAUAUUCUUUCACACUACAUGGUGUUCUUUAAACUGUAAGAGGAAAAGCACAACAGAUUCUUGCUGGGUUAGACAGAACCUCUUGUAGUGGGAUGAUUUAAAUUUAGUGUAUUUAAAAAUAUCAUAUACACCAAAUUGAGAAAAUGUAAGUUUUAAAGCUGAUUGAUUAAUGCAUUGUCAAUACAUCUGUCGUGAGCACACCAAAUAUUGUCAGGAUAAGGCCUGCGCACUUGUAAAGUGGCAAGAAAUUAUACUUUAUGAUAAGGGAUGUAAUUAGACUGUAUUUUAAUUUUUUUGUAAUUCACAACAAUAUAUGUUGUGUCUGAAAGAUAAAGGGAAUUUUAAGCACCAGUUAGUGAAAAUAUUUUUAUUUAAAUAAGAAACUGAAACUGAAGUCUUCCUAAAUAACAACUAUUAUCGCAUAAAAUAUUUUAAAAAUAGGACUUGAAUUUGGGUAUCUGUCUUAGUUACUUUUCUUGUUGCCAAGACAAAAUAUCUCACACCCAAAGUUAAAUGGGAAAGAGCUUAAUUACCUCACAGUUUGUGGAGGUUUCUGUCCAGAGCUGGCUGGCUCCAAGGCCGGGUAGCAUGGCAGAGGGGCACUGCAGAGGAGAAACAGUCCAUGGCAAAGAACGACAGGCAGAAGGCAGCAAGCAACAAGUGCAGACAACUUUAGCAGCUUCUUUCUGUCCCUUUUAUGUUUGAUCUAGGUUACCUGGCUUAGACAAGUGCCAAACCAGUCAGUAGACUGAUUUAGAUUUCACACAUCCCUAAUCCCACCACACACUCCAGAUUCCGUCACUUUUGAAACAGUCUUCACCUAUAACUGCAUGAAGCUUUGGGGGAACAUCUAGUCACAAGCCAUAACAUUCACCCCUAGCCCUUCAAAAAUUCAUACACAUCCCUUUAUGCAGAAAACAUUUAGUCCAUUUCCAAGAGUUGCCAAAGUCCUAACAGUUUCAACGUUGCUGAAAAGUCCAAGUACAAAAUUCUCCUCUGAGAUUUGAGGCAGACUCAUGAGGACACCUCUGUACAAAU
ensembl:lncRNA